rnacentral:misc_RNA from 1 species
CUUUCCUUGGGCUUUCUCUAAUAAGUGGCAGCUUUAUGUUCAACUUAUUUUAAAAAAUCAUGCUUUACCACAAUUAAUCUUCUCAUUAAUGCUCUCCUGAAAUAAUUGUAAGUUGGGCGGCUCUUGAUUGUGUAUAUACCAUGUAGGUGCUGCCUACUAUCAACUCUUAGUACAUAUCAUUUUGCAUCUUUCAUUUCAAAAUGUGAUAAGCAUUUGCAUAGUUGUGACUUGUGAGUGAUAUGUGUUGAUUGAUUGCAAACUGCAUAUAAACCAUUACCUCAAAUUGCAGCAGCUUUCAUUUGCUAAGUAAUAUCUUACUCUUAUAACAUUAUUGGUUUUGUGAUCCUUUGAAGGAU